rnacentral:piRNA from 1 species
UACCAACUGAGCCANAUCCCCAGAUUU